UUAAGCGACUAAGCGUACACGGUGGAUGCCCUGGCAGUCAGAGGCGAUGAAGGACGUGCUAAUCUGCGAUAAGCGUCGGUAAGGUGAUAUGAACCGUUAUAACCGGCGAUUUCCGAAUGGGGAAACCCAGUGUGAUUCGUCACACUAUCAUUAACUGAAUCCAUAGGUUAAUGAGGCGAACCGGGGGAACUGAAACAUCUAAGUACCCCGAGGAAAAGAAAUCAACCGAGAUUCCCCCAGUAGCGGCGAGCGAACGGGGAGCAGCCCAGAGCCUGAAUCAGUGUGUGUGUUAGUGGAAGCGUCUGGAAAGGCGCGCGAUACAGGGUGACAGCCCCGUACACAAAAAUACACAUGCUGUGAGCUCGAUGAGUAGGGCGGGACACGUGGUAUCCUGUCUGAAUAUGGGGGGACCAUCCUCCAAGGCUAAAUACUCCUGACUGACCGAUAGUGAACCAGUACCGUGAGGGAAAGGCGAAAAGAACCCCGGCGAGGGGAGUGAAAAAGAACCUGAAACCGUGUACGUACAAGCAGUGGGAGCACGCUUAGGCGUGUGACUGCGUACCUUUUGUAUAAUGGGUCAGCGACUUAUAUUCUGUAGCAAGGUUAACCGAAUAGGGGAGCCGAAGGGAAACCGAGUCUUAACUGGGCGUUAAGUUGCAGGGUAUAGACCCGAAACCCGGUGAUCUAGCCAUGGGCAGGUUGAAGGUUGGGUAACACUAACUGGAGGACCGAACCGACUAAUGUUGAAAAAUUAGCGGAUGACUUGUGGCUGGGGGUGAAAGGCCAAUCAAACCGGGAGAUAGCUGGUUCUCCCCGAAAGCUAUUUAGGUAGCGCCUCGUGAAUUCAUCUCCGGGGGUAGAGCACUGUUUCGGCAAGGGGGUCAUCCCGACUUACCAACCCGAUGCAAACUGCGAAUACCGGAGAAUGUUAUCACGGGAGACACACGGCGGGUGCUAACGUCCGUCGUGAAGAGGGAAACAACCCAGACCGCCAGCUAAGGUCCCAAAGUCAUGGUUAAGUGGGAAACGAUGUGGGAAGGCCCAGACAGCCAGGAUGUUGGCUUAGAAGCAGCCAUCAUUUAAAGAAAGCGUAAUAGCUCACUGGUCGAGUCGGCCUGCGCGGAAGAUGUAACGGGGCUAAACCAUGCACCGAAGCUGCGGCAGCGACGCUGAUGCGUUGUUGGGUAGGGGAGCGUUCUGUAAGCCUGUGAAGGUGUGCUGUGAGGCAUGCUGGAGGUAUCAGAAGUGCGAAUGCUGACAUAAGUAACGAUAAAGCGGGUGAAAAGCCCGCUCGCCGGAAGACCAAGGGUUCCUGUCCAACGUUAAUCGGGGCAGGGUGAGUCGACCCCUAAGGCGAGGCCGAAAGGCGUAGUCGAUGGGAAACAGGUUAAUAUUCCUGUACUUGGUGUUACUGCGAAGGGGGGACGGAGAAGGCUAUGUUGGCCGGGCGACGGUUGUCCCGGUUUAAGCGUGUAGGCUGGUUUUCCAGGCAAAUCCGGAAAAUCAAGGCUGAGGCGUGAUGACGAGGCACUACGGUGCUGAAGCAACAAAUGCCCUGCUUCCAGGAAAAGCCUCUAAGCAUCAGGUAACAUCAAAUCGUACCCCAAACCGACACAGGUGGUCAGGUAGAGAAUACCAAGGCGCUUGAGAGAACUCGGGUGAAGGAACUAGGCAAAAUGGUGCCGUAACUUCGGGAGAAGGCACGCUGAUAUGUAGGUGAAGUCCCUCGCGGAUGGAGCUGAAAUCAGUCGAAGAUACCAGCUGGCUGCAACUGUUUAUUAAAAACACAGCACUGUGCAAACACGAAAGUGGACGUAUACGGUGUGACGCCUGCCCGGUGCCGGAAGGUUAAUUGAUGGGGUCAGCGCAAGCGAAGCUCUUGAUCGAAGCCCCGGUAAACGGCGGCCGUAACUAUAACGGUCCUAAGGUAGCGAAAUUCCUUGUCGGGUAAGUUCCGACCUGCACGAAUGGCGUAAUGAUGGCCAGGCUGUCUCCACCCGAGACUCAGUGAAAUUGAACUCGCUGUGAAGAUGCAGUGUACCCGCGGCAAGACGGAAAGACCCCGUGAACCUUU
rnacentral:rRNA from 1 species